rnacentral:tRNA from 3 species
ACGUCCUUAGUUCAGUUGGUAGAACGUCGGUCUCCAAAACCGAAUGUCAGGGGUUCAAGUCCUCUAGGGCGUG